CAGCAGCCGCGGUAAUACAGAGGGUGCGAGCGUUAAUCGGAUUUACUGGGCGUAAAGCGUGCGUAGGCGGCUUCUUAAGUCGGAUGUGAAAUCCCUGAGCUUAACUUAGGAAUUGCAUUCGAUACUGGGAAGCUAGAGUAUGGGAGAGGAUGGUAGAAUUCCAGGUGUAGCGGUAAAAUGCGUAGAGAUCUGGAGGAAUACCGAUGGCGAAGGCAGCCAUCUGGCCUAAUACUGACGCUGAGGUACGAAAGCAUGGGGAGCAAACAGGAUUAGAUACCCCGGUAGUCCCUGUCUCUUAUAC
rnacentral:rRNA from 1 species